rnacentral:rRNA from 1 species
CGACCGGCGCACGGGUGAGUAACGCGUAUGCAACUUGCCUAUCAGAGGGGGAUAGCCCGGCGAAAGUCGGAUUAAUACCCCAUGAAACAGGGGUCCCGCAUGGGAAUAUUUGUUAAAGAUUCAUCGCUGAUAGAUAGGCAUGCGUUCCAUUAGGCAGUUGGCGGGGUAACGGCCCACCAAACCGACGAUGGAUAGGGGUUCUGAGAGGAAGGUCCCCCACAUUGGUACUGAGACACGGACCAA